AGUGAACGCUGGCGGUAGGCCUAACACAUGCAAGUCGAACGGCAGCACAGUAAGAGCUUGCUCUUACGGGUGGCGAGUGGCGGACGGGUGAGGAAUACAUCGGAAUCUACUUUUUCGUGGGGGGUAACGCAGGGAAACGUACGCUAAUACCGCAUACGACCUACGGGUGAAAGCAGGAGAUCUUUGGAACUUGCGCGAUGGAAUAAGCCGAUGUCGGUUUAGCUAGCUGGCGGGGUAAAGGCCCACCAAGGCGACGAUCCGUAGCUGGUCGGAGAGGAUGGUAAGCCACACGGGAACGGAGCCACGGCACGGACCCCUCAGGGAGGGAACAGUGGGGAAUGUUGGACAAUGGGAGCAAGCCUGGUCCAACCCAACCGAGUGGGUGGAGAAGGCCUUCGGGUUUUAAAGCCAUUUUGUUGGGAAAGAAAAGCAGCAGGUUAAUACCCCGCUGUUCUGACGGUACCCAAAGAAUAAGCACCGGCUAACUUCGUG
rnacentral:rRNA from 1 species